CCUACGGGUGGCAGCAGUGGGGAAUAUUGGACAAUGGGCGAAAGCCUGAUCCAGCCAUGCCGCGUGUGUGAAGAAGGCCUUCGGGUUGUAAAGCACUUUCAGUGGGGAAGAAAGCCUUGGGGCUAAUACCCUCGAGGAAGGACAUCACCCACAGAAGAAGCACCGGCUAACUCCGUGCCAGCAGCCGCGGUAAUACGGAGGGUGCGAGCGUUAAUCGGAAUUACUGGGCGUAAAGCGCGCGUAGGCGGUCUGAUAAGCCGGUUGUGAAAGCCCCGGGCUCAACCUGGGAACGGCAUCCGGAACUGUCAGGCUAGAGUGCAGGAGAGGAAGGUAGAAUUCCCGGUGUAGCGGUGAAAUGCGUAGAGAUCGGGAGGAAUACCAGUGGCGAAGGCGGCCUUCUGGACUGAAACUGACGCUGAGGUGCGAAAGCGUGGGUAGCAAACAGGAUUAGAUACCCCAGUAGUC
rnacentral:rRNA from 1 species